GUAGGAGCUUUUCUGAGACAUUCUGAUAUCCAGGAAAGGAUGCCAGGUUUUGUACUCCAAUUACUUCUAAGGUAUUCAUAAGCCUCAUCCUGCAGAUUUAUUAAAGUGAGGGAUGACUGACAAUAUUCGCAUUGCUUUUGUGGAGAAAAAAGUAGAGGCGAAUUUCCCUGCUUUCAUGCUAUCAUCUGGCAUCUCUCAUGGUUUUUUUUCUAUACGGUAUCACUAAUUUACUGAUAUGACACUCUUUUAUAUCAUUCCAGUACAUCAGAAAUGCUAAACAUUGCCCUUUUAUGUGUAUUUUACUCUUUUAUUUUUUACUUAGGUGUACACAAAUGAAUACAGAAUUCAAGUCAAGCGCCUGAUUUAAAGAGAUGCAAAUGGCUUAUUGUACCUUUAAUUUGCAAGCAUGGUCAUCACACACUGGGAUCACCAGGACCUGUGCUGCAGAGCAGUGCUCCUCUGGUCCCCUUAACCAGGGCAGCCUGGGGCUGAGCUCCUUGCACCAAGGCACCGGUAGCAAUGCUAUGCAUCGCAGGGCACCACGGGCACCUCUGGCACCUGAUGUGUCAAAAUACGCAAUAAUAACAAGGGCUGCUUUUAAAACAGCUGCCUGUGGUCCGCCAUGAGGAUUGGUUUUGAGUUUUCAUCUUUCUGCGCUGUGUAAAACUUGGUAUUUAAAUUGUGCAUUCACUAGGGAAGGCUGUGCUUUCAGAUAGCUCCUGUUUUCAAACACAGUGUCAAGUUUUCCUGAAGCCUUUGUCUGGAAUUGGAUCUGAAUUUCACAAGGAACUAGUAAUAGUGUUUACAUAGAUUUUAAGAAAAGAGGAAAAAAAGCCACACAACAGACCAGGUUUAAACAUCUCCCAGUGGCCAAAUCCUUUGCUUUCUGGUGAUAAGGAAACGCUGUUUUUGCAAGUGGUUUGCUGCUGUUUUUCAUGGCUUUGUGUAUCUAAGCUUUAAUAUUUCUUCCCAUUUUUGCUCACAUCCAAGGAAGUUAAUACAGCACUACUAUCAAAUUAAUUGCUUUGGGAAACACUGCAUUAUUUUUGUCCCAUCUCCGCUGUUCAUGUUGCCACUGUGGGAGAGAGAGACAGACAGAAAGGAAGGGUUCUGAAUGUUGGGGUAGGCAAGCUGCUGCUUUUCUGUGCUAAUAGAGAGCAAUUCCUUCUAAGUGGAGCAGAAAGGUGGCUCAGGACUUUGGCUGUGAGCAUCACACGUGGGGUCAGCUGGGAGCAGCGGGGUCAGUGGCACUGACUGCUAUCAGAGGGGGCUGAGGAGAUCUGCACCCACAAAAGGAUUCAGACUGUUGUGGCCAGAAAAAUGAAUUAGUACUGCAUUUUCUGCUGAACAUAGAACACACAUCUCUUUUUUAGUUGUCUCCUGAGCUAUGGAUCUAAGAGUAAAUAUAUGGGAUAAAAGGUCAAGGGUUUUGAGAUCCACACUGAAACCACAAAGAGAGGGACCUCGUUGUCCUGAGACUUUUUGAGUCUCAUACAGAAGACAAACAAGGCAACCUCAGUAUGGUAAUUUAGACUUGAUCCUGUCUCUUGGAGGUCAGGGAAAUGCUGCUAUUUCCCUGUCCCA
rnacentral:lncRNA from 1 species